rnacentral:tRNA from 1 species
GGGGUUGUGGCUCAGUGGUAGAGUGCUCACCUAGUACAUGAGGCCCUGGGUUCGAUCCUCAACACCA